rnacentral:lncRNA from 1 species
AAGAAUAAAGAAUAAAGAACGGCUAAUGUUAAAGAAUAGAAAAUGCUAAAAAAUAGCUAAUAAUGUAAAGAAUGAUUAGCGAUAAAGAAUGGCUAAUAGUAAAGAAUGGCUAACAGUAAAGAAUAGCUAAGAAUAAAGAGUAGAAUCAGUUAAUCUACUUGUAUGAGUUGCAUGAUUUGCAUAUUGCAUAUUGUGAGGCAUGAACAUGAUAAAUGUUAGUUGCAUAAAUUAUAUAUAUCUGUGGAUAUUCGUUGGACUAACAUGUUUGGAGU